rnacentral:rRNA from 1 species
GGGGGGGGGGGGCCUAAAUACAUGCAAGUCGUACGCACUGGCCCAACUGAUUGAUGGUGCUUGCACCUGAUUGACGAUGGAUCACCAGUGAGUGGCGGACGGGUGAGUAACACGUAGGUAACCUGCCCCGGAGCGGGGGAUAACAUUUGGAAACAGAUGCUAAUACCGCAUAACAACAAAAGCCACAUGGCUUUUGUUUGAAAGAUGGCUUUGGCUAUCACUCUGGGAUGGACCUGCGGUGCAUUAGCUAGUUGGUAAGGUAACGGCUUACCAAGGCGAUGAUGCAUAGCCGAGUUGAGAGACUGAUCGGCCACAAUGGAACUGAGACACGGUCCAUACUCCUACGGGAGGCAGCAGUAGGGAAUCUUCCACAAUGGGCGCAAGCCUGAUGGAGCAACACCGCGUGAGUGAAGAAGGGUUUCGGCUCGUAAAGCUCUGUUGUUGGAGAAGAACGUGCGUGAGAGUAACUGUUCACGCAGUGACGGUAUCCAACCAGAAAGUCACGGCUAACUACGUGCCAGCAGCCGCGGUAAUACGUAGGUGGCAAGCGUUAUCCGGAUUUAUUGGGCGUAAAGCGAGCGCAGGCGGUUGCUUAGGUCUGAUGUGAAAGCCUUCGGCUUAACCGAAGAAGUGCAUCGGAAACCGGGCAACUUGAGUGCAGAAGAGGACAGUGGAACUCCAUGUGUAGCGGUGGAAUGCGUAUAUAUAUGGAAGAACACCAGUGGCGAAGGCGGCUGUCUGGUCUGCAACUGACGCUGAGGCUCGAAAGCAUGAGUAGCGAACACGAUUAGAUACCCUGGUAGUCCAUGCCGUAAACGAUGAGUGCUAGGUGUUGGAGGGUUUCCGCCCUUCGUGCCGGAGCUAACGCAUUAAGCACUCCGCCUGGGGAGUACGACCGCAAGGUUGAACUCAAGGAAUUGACGGGGGCCCGCACAGCGGUGGAGCAUGUGGUUUAAUUCGAAGCUACGCGACAACCUUACCAGGUCUUGACAUCUUGCCGCUAACCAUAGAGAUACUGCGUUCCCUUCGGGGACCGCAUGACAGGUGGUGGCAUGGUCGUCGUCAGCUCCUGUCGUGAGAUGUUGCGUUAAGUCCGCACCAGCGCAACCAUGCUACCUGUUUGCAGCAUUAGUUGGGCACUCUAGUGGAAACUGCCCGUGGAACAACGGAUGAAGGGUGGAGGACCACGCUCGAAUCUUCAUGGCCCCUUAGACCCUGGGCUAACCACGCGUGACUACAAUGGACGGUACAUCCGAGUCCCAAGCUUCGCAGGGAUAGCCUAACUCCUCUAUGAGCCGGGUUCUACGGUAUGCAGAGACUGGAUAAAGC